UCUAAGCCCGAUAUUUUAUUUCUUAUCAACUUAAGUGCAUUUUCAAUGAGAACAUCAGGAACUGUUCCGCUGUAGACAAUAUUGUGGCUAAUGAAAGUCUGACUUGCAUAAAGUCAUUGCGAGUCAUAGCAGCUCCGCGGAAGUUGUGGUAUGUUGGAACUCUAAAACAAGGCGCUCACAAACAGACAAUUAGAAGUAACAAGACCACCAAAAAUCAAGCACUAUUAAUUGAUAAUCGUUGGUUCCUUGAGGUUUAGUCGCCCGAACAGGAUCCUUGUGGGUGGGACAUGGUGGUUCCGUCAAGAAAAAGGCCGGGCCAAAAAGAAUUUGUCUGGCGACAAGAACGAACAAGGAUAGUCUAUAAAUGCUGUGUGAGAUGAUGCCAUAGGGCUGGAAUCUGCCUACCGAAGGUGCGGCAGCUUCUAACCUUGGAACUGAAUCCAGACGACAAACAAACCACGUGUAUACUGAAAGAAGAAGAGAAAAGGGAGUGGGACAAUCACGACGGAAGCAACAGAUCCAUGCUAGAUGAAAGCCCAAGAUCGAAUUGAAAUUUAGGAGUUGAUUUUUGCGGAGUGAGGAAAACCAGAGAACACGGAAAACUAUUGAAGCACAAGAGAGAACCAACAAACAACUCUACUCACAUACGACACCAAGCACGGCAGGGCUCGAACUCGGGUCGCAUUGGUGAGAGGCGACGCAUUAGCAGCACACGCCACCCGUGCUUCCCAUAAAGGAUAGUACGCGCGCGCUGAUUGGUAAAAAACUGUACUUUAUUAGUGAAUGGAGCAUAGUGCUGACGCUAUACACGCGCGCGAAGUGCUGCUAGAUCCUAUGACCGUCUCUCUUUUAGCGUAAAUAAAUCAAAAACCAAAAAGAAAUUUGUAGCUAUAUAAUAAUACGAAUGAGCAUAGAAAAAGCUGUUUUAAUUGUUAAAUACAGAUUGCCUGACAAUGUUAUUAAGAUGGAUGUCCUCGGCUGUAACUAGAUGGGAGUACUGUUACGAUGGCAAGUAUACCAGGCGAUAUAUAUGAGGAAGUUAUGAUUAGCGUGUACUUAUGUGCAUACGGAACUGAGAAUUUGCCUUUUUGAUAAUACUCGUCAUGAUAGGUAAAUAAAUGGCAUUCAUUUGA